AGAGUUUGAUCAUGGCUCAGAUUGAACGCUGGCGGCAGGCCUAACACAUGCAAGUCGAGCGGUAGAGAGAAGCUCGCUUCUCUUGAGAGCGGCGGACGGGUGAGUAAUGCCUAGGAAUCUGCCUGGUAGUGGGGGAUAACGUUCGGAAACGGACGCUAAUACCGCAUACGUCCUACGGGAGAAAGCAGGGGACCUUCGGGCCUUGCGCUAUCAGAUGAGCCUGGGUCGGAUUAGCUAGUUGGUGAGGUAAUGGCUCACCAAGGCGACGAUCCGUAACUGGUCUGAGAGGAUGAUCAGUCACACUGGAACUGAGACACGGUCCAGACUCCUACGGGAGGCAGCAGUGGGGAAUAUUGGACAAUGGGCGAAAGCCUGAUCCAGCCAUGCCGCGUGUGUGAAGAAGGUCUUCGGAUUGUAAAGCACUUUAAGUUGGGAGGAAGGGUUGUAGAUUAAUACUCUGCAAUUUUGACGUUACCGACAGAAUAAGCACCGGCUAACUCUGUGCCAGCAGCCGCGGUAAUACAGAGGGUGCAAGCGUUAAUCGGAAUUACUGGGCGUAAAGCGCGCGUAGGUGGUUUGUUAAGUUGGAUGUGAAAUCCCCGGGCUCAACCUGGGAACUGCAUUCAAAACUGACUGACUAGAGUAUGGUAGAGGGUGGUGGAAUUUCCUGUGUAGCGGUGAAAUGCGUAGAUAUAGGAAGGAACACCAGUGGCGAAGGCGACCACCUGGACUAAUACUGACACUGAGGUGCGAAAGCGUGGGGAGCAAACAGGAUUAGAUACCCUGGUAGUCC
rnacentral:rRNA from 1 species